GUACGCGGGCAGGAUGAGUCAACGGGACGCAGCGCAAUGAGAGAGAUUAGUUGUUCCCAUAGCUGCCUCACUGGAGACCAGUUGCUAGAGUGGAGCGUGGGCCCCUUCGGUGUGGGGAUCAAGGACUCCUCCUCAGGAUCUCUGGAGUCCCUCCUUACUCUGGAAGCCAGGGAGCUAUGUGUUUAAUACAACACAGGAACUAAAGGAAAUCAUCCCUGAAUAUUCAUUGCAAGGACUGAUGCUGAAGCUGAAGC